rnacentral:misc_RNA from 1 species
UACGGAGGGCGCAAGCGUUGUUCGGAAUCACUGGGCGUAAAGCGCGUGUAGGCGGCCGGGCAAGUCGGAUGUGAAAUCCCGAGGCUCAACCUCGGAACUGCAUUCGAUACUGCUCGGCUCGAGUCCCGGAGAGGAUGGCGGAAUUCCCGGUGUAGGGGUGAAAUCCGUAGAUAUCGGGAGGAACACCAGUGGCGAAGGCGGCCAUCUGGACGGUGACUGACGCUGAGACGCGAAAGCGUGGGGAGCAAACAGG